rnacentral:rRNA from 1 species
UACCCAUCUCGAACACGGCAGUUAAGCUCUUCAGCGUCGAUGGUACUGCAUGGGAGACUGUGUGGGAGAGUAGAACGCUGCCGGGU